UUAGAGCUUCUUGCACCCGGGAAUUCCUUUUGGUGCCGUUGGGCUGGCCAGCGAAGUCCAGGCUGUGGAGGUCAAGGCCAGGCAAGCGUGCGCUUCCCAAGACAAGAACUGAAGAGGCGACGUAUUGCUAGGUGAGGAGCAAGUCUCAUCUCGUCAUCACCUGGCGCAGGACGGCUUUGUGCAGCUCCAGCCCGGUGGUAACAGGAGCCACACUUCACCUUAGUUAUGAGUGCUCACUCUCCAGAUGACUCACUGAACAGGCCAAGGUUCCUGUCGACGUGGAGAAUGUCCUACUGGAAAUGAAAAACAACAUGCCUUGCAGUGGCCCCAGAGAUCCUGCGAUGAUGGAGCCUGGUGGCAAGUGGCCUUGCUCUGAAGCAGAGGCCCAGGUUUACAAGCAGUCCUGUCAGCUCCGAGGUCCUCCUCACAUAGUUUUGUCUGUUUUGUUUGCUGUGUCUUGGGCCUGUAGCUAACGUCUGUGGAGGCCAAGGCAAGAAAACAACCCAAAGCCCACACACCAUGUGCCUAAAUACUUACAAGUUAUACGUCAAACUAAUACACUGCUAAAUAGAGUGGGUCUUAACAAAUAAAACAUUAUGCUGGGGGGAAAGUCUAUAUGAAAUUAAGAUUUUUUUUUUGUUGAGAAGAUCUCAGACACAAAUAAAUUUGUUAUUACACAUUG